CAAAGAAAAAGUCUCUAAUGUGCAAUUUGAUAUUUUAGAAUUUAUUAAUUUAUGAUAAUAAUUUAUUAAAUUUAUGAUAUAUAAAUUAUUCACAAAAGUUUUACAAUGAAAAUAUCGCCUGGGGGAGUCCACCCCCUGCUUGCCAGCCCACGGGGGCCACUUUGCCAAUCCCGUUUUCUAUUACCCUUGCGCAAAAGCUAGCAGGUGCUAGCUGUCUUGGAGUGGUCUGAGGGUUGGUGAGCAGAGGCCUCGCUAGUUUUAUAUCAUCAUAUUUUUUAAAAAUAAUUAAAAAAGAGCAAAUAAUAAAUACACUUGAAAACUACCACACUUUUCGAUUUUUGACAGGCAUGCUAGAAAAAGUAACUCGUACAAUUCAUCGAAAACAAUAUUUUCUAUGUGUUUUUCUUUUAAUUUGCAUUCUAUUUUAAUGCUCAUCUUUGUUGUACACUUCGACAGGGCUAUAUAUAAUUGUCCAUGUGUAAAUAUUGUUUCUUGAAUUUAUAAUCAAACCUAUUUUCUCAAAACUUUGACCUUGUGACUUAAGGUUAUAGCAAACAUUAGAUGGACUAUGAAUUGCAACUGUUUCAAAACAAAGGGCAUUUCAAUAUAUCCUUGUGUGUCUAAACAUUUUUAACGGGAUGUACACAAUAUCUCCCUUUUUUAUUCCCAGUUAACAUUUCACAGUACUAUUAAUUUUUCUUGCUAUCAAACGAUUCCCAUUAUACAAACCAUCUCCUAAUAAUUUUAAUAAAUUUCUCAAUAGCAUAACAUCCUUCUUUUUAAGUGCAGUUCUGCAGAAGGCAAACCUGAAGGUGUCAUUAAUUCUCUCUAGCUCUACUCAGCAUGAUCUAUGUACCAGACUGUACGCGCUCGGAUCUGGUGAGGUCUAAUCGAGCAGGGGGCGGUGGAACGGACUCUGACGGCACUGACCAAAUACACUUAACAAUUUUCCCUGAUAAAUCUAAUGGAUAAAACUCUGCAAUUGGGGGCCGCGGUAGCCGAGUGGUUAAGGCAUCAGACUCUCGGCUAAUAAAUCCUGCGGUCGUGGGUUCGAUCCCCAUUGUCGCCUCUGGACUUGUUCUGAUGCCUAAGGGGACCGCAACUGAAAGAAAUUGACACGGCACUGAAUUUGGUCCCAACCCCCUUCAAAAAUGAGUUUCUUCGAUGGAAGAACACCGGC